rnacentral:rRNA from 1 species
AUCCUGGCUCAGGAUGAACGCUAGCGGCAGGCUUAACACAUGCAAGUCGAGGGGUAACGGGGUGCUUGCACCGCCGACGACCGGCGCACGGGUGCGUAACGCGUAUACAAUCUACCUUGUAGAGGGGAAUAGCCCAGAGAAAUUUGGAUUAAUGCCCCAUAGUAUUAUUAGAUAGCAUUAUUUGAUAAUUAAACAUUUAUGGCUACAAGAUGAGUAUGCGUUCUAUUAGUUAGUAGGUAAGGUAACGGCUUACCUAGACUUCGAUAGAUAGGGGUCCUGAGAGGGAGAUCCCCCACACUGGUACUGAGACACGGACCAGACUCCUACGGGAGGCAGCAGUGAGGAAUAUUGGACAAUGGGCGAGAGCCUGAUCCAGCCAUGCCGCGUGCAGGAAGACGGCCCUAUGGGUUGUAAACUGCUUUUAUAGAGGAAGAAACACUCCUACGUGUAGGAGCUGACGGUA